GACGAACGCUGGCGGCGUGCUUAACACAUGCAAGUCGAACGGUAAGGCCCUUCGGGGUACACGAGUGGCGAACGGGUGAGUAACACGUGGGUGAUCUGCCCUGCACUUCGGGAUAAGCCUGGGAAACUGGGUCUAAUACCGGAUAGGACCACUGCCUGCAUGGGUGGUGGUGGAAAGCUUUUGCGGUGUGGGGAUGGGCCCGCGGCCUAUCAGCUUGUUGGUGGGGUGAUGGCCUACCAAGGCGACGACGGGUAGCCGGCCUGAGAGGGUGACCGACGAAUAGGGGGAGGAGAUCCGGCCCAGACUCCUGCGGGAGGCAGCAGGGGGUAAUAUUGCACACUGGGCGCAAGCCUGAUGCAGCGACGCCGCGUGAGGGAUGACGGCCUGCGGGUUGUAAACCUCUUUCAGCACCGACGAAGCGAAAGUGACGGUAGGUGCAGAAGAAGGACCGGCCAACUACGUGCCAGCAGCCGCCGUAA
rnacentral:rRNA from 1 species